UCUCUCUUCAUCUCUAUCUCCGUCAUUGUAUUCGUUUCCGUUUCCGUUUCCAUCUCUAGCGAGUUUCCUCACCUCUCUCUCUCUCUUCUUCUUCUUCUUCUUCUUCUUCUUCUUCUUCUUCUUCUUCUUCUUCUUCUUCUUCUCUUCUCAUAGUUUCCAUCCCCCCUGUCAUCGCUGAACCAGUGGCGGUGACUUCGUUCUUCCUCUUUUUCGCUUCAUUAACUGGUUUCUUCUAGGCAACUCCGUUAACAGGUUUUGGAUCCUGGAGGAGGUUAGACAAUGAUGGCGAGGAUUUCAACAAUGUUGCGGCUUUGUUAACGGGUUUUUCCCUACGGUUCAGGUUCAACAACCAAGCUUCUCCUUUCUGAAACACUCGAUUUUCCUAAGAUAAAGGUACCCAAGGAGAUAUAUAUUUUUGGGGUCAUAGUCCAUGCAUCAAAAGUAAGAAAAAGAACACAUAAAAGAUCCCAAUCUUUCACUGGUCAUCAUCUUUCCCACUGCAACACUGAAUAGAGUGCGGCGACCCCUCUUCUUCAACUCUUCAACACUCUUUCUCUCUCAUUAUCUCCUUUUUCCUCCCCUUCUUCCUUUUUUUUCUUUUCCUUUUUCGUCUUCUUUUUUUCUUUUUCUUCUUCCUUCCCCUGUUCUAUCACCGCCACUACAACAAGUUGCAGCGGUAGAAUGGAAUGCAUCCCCUCUUUCUCCGAUCUCCCAUUCUCUCUCUCUCUCUCUCUUCUCCUUCCCUUUCAUUCUCUCUCCCACUCAUUCGUUUUUUAUUGUUAAAAUGCUUUGCCUACACAAUUUUCAGUUUUGUCGGCUGAGCACAGAAGACUGUAGCAGACAAAGAAACAAUACAUUAUAUCUGGUUUUCGAAUUCAAUUAAAACAUUGCUCCUGAUAUUAGUUUUUCUCCAUUUUGGAAAAUAUUGGGUUCUCUAGUUUCUUAUGCAGAUCUAAUCUAUAUGGAAAGUACAUUAUAACAAAGAUUUUGUUUUUUCUUAGAUUAUGAUCUCAAUAUUUCCAUCUUUUUCACUUAAUUCAUUUGUUUGGUUGUAAUCCUAAAGGGUUCACAUUUACUUAUUUUUAGAGAAAGUAGGAAACUAUGCAUAGCCACCGCCUCCUAGUUGUGCCUUUCAGGAUUCAAAAGAGUUGCAAAGAACUUGAGUCCAGCUUUCUCGCCUUGCAGAGGCAGGCGGCCAUAGAUACUAAAGACCUUUAAUCUCACUAAUUUGUUCUUCCGAUUCUCAGCUUCAAGAGAAUAGUGCCACCACGAUACUAAAUCUUUGUGCGAUAAGAAUAAGGAUCUAAUUACUGCGUUGGGAGCAAUUAAGCCCCUGCAAGGAGCUCUCGAGACUGGAACUGCGACCAUGAAGGAGAACGCUGCGUAUGCUCUACUUUGGUUUUAUUGCCUGAAAAGCCACCGACUGCACCCGGAAUUGAAAAUUUUCAUCAAUGUGAGUUGCGAAAAGACUGUGGCCGAUGACCCUCCGAUUCCAUCUCUCUCUCUCCCGUGUGUCUCCUCUCCCUCCUUGAAACGCUAGAUCUGAAAACUGGCGUAACAGAUUUGCCUACGGGCGGUGAUUUUUACCUAGAUUACAUAAGAAUGACCAAAGGUGAAAACAUUUUUCAUCUCAAAGGAGAUUUGGGAGCUGGUAGAAGAAGGAUAUGAAGAACCAGAAAAUCGUGAAUAACUUGCAACAUGGACUGAAGACAAGAAGGAGUACAAAGAAAAUAGGAAAGAUGAUGCUAGAGCCCUGUACCAUAUUCAGCAAGCAGUCUAAUCAUGACUGGCAAAAGCUCAAAAGAAGCAUGGGAUAUUCUCAAGAAAGAGUUUCAGGGCACCAAAAAGGGGCUGUGGAAAAGGGUGGGAUUUGGCUAUUCACCAUGAGUUUGCUUACGGGAAGUUGAUGCAUUUUUAUUUUUGAAGAAGAUAUUUUAAUUCAUUGCAGAGUGAGUGCUUCUCUGGAUGUUAUCUCUCUGACAUAAACAUGGUCAUUUCAGCACCAACUGGUAGUGGUAAAACAGUCUUAUUUGAACUGUGCAUUUUGAGGCUUCUCUCAAGUUACUCUCAAAGGAAGGAGAGUUCAUUCAUAUAAAGGGAACUCUCAAAACAGUACGUUAACUACCUCUACAUUCCUUAAGACUUAAACGUCCAUAAUCAAGCCCUUUUUCAAUCAAGUUUUUCAUUUAAGAGUUGUUGAUAUUUUAUUCUAUUGAUUCUGAUCAUGUCUAAACUAAAUGUUCUCAAGGCAACUCUAAAUCGAAAUUUUGGUGCUUUUAGCCAUAUUAUAUGUCGAUAGCUGAUCUUGAUUAACAUUUAGUACCUUCUAAUUGACAUAGAACAGUUUA